rnacentral:rRNA from 1 species
UACGUAGGGUCCGAGCGUUGUCCGGAAUCAUUGGGCGUAAAGAGCGCGCAGGCGGCUUGGCAAGUCGGGUGUGAAAUCCCGGGGCUCAACCCCGUGACUGCAUCCGAUACUGUCAGGCUAGAGGUAGGUAGGGGAGAUCGGAAUUCCUGGUGUAGCGGUGAAAUGCGCAGAUAUCAGGAGGAACACCGGUGGUGUAGACGGCUUUCUGGACCGUAACUGACGCUGAGACACGAAAGCGUGGGUAGCAAACAGG